rnacentral:tRNA from 1 species
AAGUUUAAGUUACUAAAACUAAGGGCCUUCAAAGCCCUAAACAGGGACAAGCCCUAACUUCUG